UGGGGAAUUUUGGACAAUGGGCGAAAGCCUGAUCCAGCAAUGCCGCGUGUGUGAAGAAGGCCUUCGGGUUGUAAAGCACUUUUGUCCGGAAAGAAAUCCUUGGCUCUAAUACAGUCGGGGGAUGACGGUACCGGAAGAAUAAGCACCGGCUAACUACGUGCCAGCAGCCGCGGUAAUACGUAGGGUGCAAGCGUUAAUCGGAAUUACUGGGCGUAAAGCGUGCGCAGGCGGUUUGCUAAGACCGAUGUGAAAUCCCCGGGCUCAACCUGGGAACUGCAUUGGUGACUGGCAGGCUAGAGUAUGGCAGAGGGGGGUAGAAUUCCACGUGUAGCAGUGAAAUGCGUAGAGAUGUGGAGGAAUACCGAUGGCGAAGGCAGCCCCCUGGGCCAAUACUGACGCUCAUGCACGAAAGCGUGGGGAGCAAACAGGAUUAGAUACCCUGGUAGUCCACGCCCUAAAACGAUGUCAACUAGUUGUUGGGGAUUCAUUUCCUUAGUAACGUAGCUAACGCGUGAAGUUGACCGCCUGGGGGAUACGGUCGCAAGAUUAAAACUCAAAUGGAAUUGACGGGGUCAUAGCUGUUUCCU
rnacentral:rRNA from 1 species